ACACGAGAAGGGAGGUGGUUCGGCAGAUGUAUGAAAACCGGACGCGUGAGGUGGCUGCGGGCUAAGCGGUCCGCCACCCCAUCCAGUGCGGUGCCGGACCAGCACGUGCCACAAGCGUGCAGCCGGCCCAAUCCCAAGCAGUCACCCGACCCGCGAGCUCGCCGGCACGUCCGGCCGGCUUCUGCCGCCGCAAGGUGGCGGAACCCGAGCUCGCGGGUCGUCUGCG
rnacentral:sRNA from 1 species